UUGAACGCUGGCGGAAUGCUUUACACAUGCCAGUCGCACGGCAGCACGGGGGCAACCCUGGUGGCGAGUGGCGAACGGGUGAGUAAUACAUCGGAACGUGCCCGGUCGUGGGGGAUAACGUAGCGAAAGUUACGCUAAUACCGCAUACGAUCUGAGGAUGAAAGCGGGGGACCUUCGGGCCUCGCGCGAUCGGAGCGGCCGAUGUCAGAUUAGGUAGUUGGUGGGGUAAAGGCCUACCAAGCCGACGAUCUGUAGCUGGUCUGAGAGGACGACCAGCCACACUGGGACUGAGACACGGCCCAGACUCCUACGGGAGGCAGCAGUGGGGAAUUUUGGACAAUGGGCGCAAGCCUGAUCCAGCCAUUCCGCGUGCAGGACGAAGGCCUUCGGGUUGUAAACUGCUUUUGUAUGGAACGAAAAGGCUCUGGCUAAUACCUGGGGCUCAUGACGGUACCGUAAGAAUAAGCACCGGCUAACUACGUG
rnacentral:rRNA from 1 species